UUGUCUCAAAGAUUAAGCCAUGCAUGUCUCAGUACAAGCCAAAUUAAGGUGAAACCGCGAAAGGCUCAUUAAAUCAGUUAUGGUUCCUUAGAUCGUACUCACAUUUACUUGGAUAACUGUGGUAAUUCUAGAGCUAAUACAUGCAAACAGAGCUCCAACCGGAAACGGAAGGAGCGCUUUUAUUAGAUCAAAACCAAUCGGUGGCGGUCUCCGUCAUCGUACAACUUGGUGACUCUGAAUAACUUUACGCUGAUCGCACGGUCUCGCACCGGCGACGCAUCUUUCAAAUGUCUGCCUUAUCAACUGUCGAUGGUAGGUUCUGCGCCUACCAUGGUUGUAACGGGUAACGGGGAAUCAGGGUUCGAUUCCGGAGAGGGAGCCUGAGAAACGGCUACCACAUCCAAGGAAGGCAGCAGGCGCGCAAAUUACCCACUCCCGGCACGGGGAGGUAGUGACGAAAAAUAACGAUACGGGACUCAUCCGAGGCCCCGUAAUCGGAAUGAGUACACUCUAAACCCUUUAACGAGGAUCAAUUGGAGGGCAAGUCUGGUGCCAGCAGCCGCGGUAAUUCCAGCUCCAAUAGCGUAUAUUAAAGUUGUUGCGGUUAAAAAG
rnacentral:rRNA from 1 species